CUCCAUCCUCCCCCCCACUUCGUUCGUGACCUCUCGUCAAAGUGCACCCAAGUAAAAAAACACAUUCCCGAGACUCACGGCCGAGAACCACGUCGCGACUGCGAGCAAACUCGGAGUUCCAGUCGGCACGUGGCUACCUGCAAACUCGGUCGCCGCCGCCGCUGCUGCUGCUGCUGAUCCUGCUGCUGCUGUUGCUGCUGCUGCUGCCCUUGCUGCUGCUGCUGAUCCUGCUGCUGCUGUUGCUGCUGCUGCUGCCAACUCGUCACCCACGCUCCUCCUGUGAGCGCUUCUGCGUUUCCCCGGGCCUUCACAGACUAGCGGAACGGCGGUGGUGGUGAUGAUGGCAGAUCCCUCUCGACAGAUCUACGUCGUCUAAGCGAGAGACACUACACCAGCCACCAUCAUCAUCACCACCAACCACCACCACCAUCACCACCACCACCUCAUCCAUCAUCACCACCACCACCACCUCCUCCUGCCGAUGGCGACUUCGAGGAGGUCCAUGAUGC